rnacentral:rRNA from 1 species
GAUGAACGCUGGCGGCGUGCCUAAUACAUGCAAGUCGAGCGAACAGACGCGGCGCUUGCUCCUCUGUCGUUAGCGGCGGACGGGAGAGUAACACGUGGAUACCCUACUUAUAUGACUGGGAUAACUUCGGGAAACCGGAGCUAAUCCCGGAUAAUAUACUGCACCGCAUGGUUCAAUAGUGAAAGACGGUUUUGCUGUCUCUUAUCGAUGGAUCCGCGCCGCAUUAGCUAGUUGGUAAGGUAACGGCUUACCAAGGCAACGAUGCGUAGCCGACCUGAGAGGGUGGUCGGCCACACUGGAACUGAGACGCGGUCCAUACUCCUACGGGAGGCAGCAGUAGGGAAUCUUCCGCAAUGGGCGGAAACCUGGCGGAGCAACGCGGCGUGAGUGAUGAAGAUCUUCGGAUCGUAAAACUCUGUUAUUAGUGAAAAACAAAUGUGUAAGUAACUAUGCACGUCUUGACGGUACCUGAUCAGAAAGCCACGGCUAACUACGUG